CAGCUGUGGGCUCAGAAGCAGAGCUCUGGGUCAUCUCCACCAUGGCCUGGACCCCUCCCUUGCUCAUCCUCCUCACUCUCUGCACAGGUGC
rnacentral:pre_miRNA from 1 species